AUUGAACGCUGGCGGCAGGCCUAACACAUGCAAGUCGAGCGAGCGGCGGACGGGUGAGUAAUGUAUGGGGACUGCCCGAUAGAGGGGGAUAACUACUGGAAACGGUGGCUAAUACCGCAUACUAUCGGAUAACCCAUAUGGGAUUAGCUAGUAGUGGGGGUAAAGGCUCACCAAGGCGACGAUUUCUAGCUGGUCUGAGAGGGUGAUCAGCCACACUGGGACGAGGACACGGUCCAGACUCCUACGGAGGCAGCAGUGGGGAAUAUUGCACAAUGGGCGCAAGCCUGAUGUAGCCAUGCCGCGUGUAUGAAGAAGGCCUUCGGAUUGUAAAGUACUGUCAUCGGGGAGGCGUUACCCGCAGAAGAAGCACCGGCUAACUCCGUGCCAGCAGCCGCGGUAAUAC
rnacentral:rRNA from 1 species